rnacentral:rRNA from 5 species
AGACCCGAAACCCGGUGAUCUAGCCAUGGGCAGGUUGAAGGUUGGGUAACACUAACUGGAGGACCGAACCGACUAAUGUUGAAAAAUUAGCGGAUGACCUGUGGCUGGGGGUGAAAGGCCAAUCAAACCGGGAGAUAGCUGGUUCUCCCCGAAAGCUAUUUAGGUAGCGCCUCGUGAAUUCAUCUCCGGGGGUAGAGCACUGUUUCGGCUAGGGGGCCAUCCCGGCUUACCAACCCGAUGCAAACUGCGAAUACCGGAGAAUGUUAUCACGGGAGACACACGGCGGGUGCUAACGUCCGUCGUGAAGAGGGAAACAACCCAGACCGCCAGCUAAGGUCCCAAAGUCAUGGUUAAGUGGGAAACGAUGUGGGAAGGCCCAGACAGCCAGGAUGUUGGCUUAGAAGCAGCCAUCAUUUAAAGAAAGCGUAAUAGCUCACUGGUCGAGUCGGCCUGCGCGGAAGAUGUAACGGGGCUAAACCAUGCACCGAAGCUGCGGCAGCGACACUGUGUGUUGUUGGGUAGGG